UUGCGGUUAUAAUUUCAUCUCUGAAGCGUGGGGCUGUGUGGAGCCUGGCUAGAUCUGUGGCUGACAGUCUUUCAAUGGUCCUGUACUGUGUCCAUUCUCAUUCAUUAACCCAGGAAUUCUUAAAAGCAAGCUUCGCCUUGGCAAAGCAUGAUAAAGGGGAUUGCACUCAGCGGCUUGCUGUGUGAAAGGGGUCACCAGGACGAAAAUUUGAGAACCAGAUAGAGCACAAUGAAUACAAAGUCUUACAGAAGUUGCCUGAGAGACAUGGUACGUGUUCAGUUGAUGGAAAGAUACCAGUCAGCUUCUCCUGAAUAUUGUGAGCUUCUUCACACCUAUUCCAAAGAGUCUUCCAUGAUAAACAAGAUGAGUUUUUCAGAGUAAAAGGCACUCUAGCUCCAGCAAGGUGUGAAAGAGCAAUCUCAGUUUAAGCAGCCGUUCUUCAGCAACAGGAAUUGUAAACAAGAAAUUUACAAUUCAUCUGAAGGACAGCUGGCAGAGCAUAUAAACAAUAGAACUGUUGACCCCAGGACCCAGCAAGGACUUUUCCAGUAAAAAGGGUCAGGAUAUAUGAAGGGGGAAAAACAGGCCCCUGACCACCUCUCCUCCCUCAUCUCUACUCACUGCAGCAAGAUUGUUUGAAAGACAAAGGAUCAUCAUUGAACUGGGGAGAGUGGUCCUAAUUAAGGCUUUCCAGUUAGGACUGCUGAAAGUUUUGGGUGAGAAACCCUUUUGCUUUCAAAUCUUAUUUAGCUUGGUAAAGUUUCCGUGUUUAUCAUCUUUUAUUUCUCUUGUAACCAAUACUGACUUUUAUCCCUUUACCACUUAUAAUCACUUAAAAUCUUUCUUAAAAGAAUAAAACGUUUAUUAACUAACCUAAACCAGCGUGUUUUGACUGAAGUGCUUGGGGAAUCUCAUCAUUCCCUUUAAUAGAAUGACGGACUUUUAAUGAGCUUACACAGUUCGUGGAGAAGUGGGGGGAGUCCGAAGCAGUGCAAGAGACACAUUUCUGGGAUGCAAUGCUGGGACUGGGGGAUUUGCGG